UACGUAGGGUGCGAGCGUUAAUCGGAAUUACUGGGCGUAAAGCGUGCGCAGGCGGCGCGUUAAGACAGGUGUGAAAGCCCCGAGCUUAACUUGGGGAAUUGCGCUUGUGACUGGCGUGCUGGAGUGUGGCAGAGGGAGGUGGAAUUCCACGUGUAGCAGUGAAAUGCGUAGAGAUGUGGAGGAACACCGAUGGCGAAGGCAGCCUCCUGGGCCAGCACUGACGCUGAGGCGCGAAAGCGUGGGGGAGCAAACAGG
rnacentral:rRNA from 1 species